UACGGAGGGUGCAAACGUUGCUCGGAAUCAUUGGGCGUAAAGCGCACGUAGGCGGUCCGGCAAGUCGGGUGUGAAAGCCCUCGGCUUAACCGAGGAAGUGCAUUCGAAACUACCGGACUUGAAUACUGGAGAGGGUCGCGGAAUUCCCGGUGUAGAGGUGAAAUUCGUAGAUAUUCGCAAGAACACCAGUGGCGAAGGCGGCUUACUGGUCCGGUUCUGACGCUGAGGCGCGAAAAGCGUGGGGGAGCAAACAGGG
rnacentral:rRNA from 1 species